GAUGAACGCUGGCGGCGUGCUUAACACAUGCAAGUCGAACGGUGAAGGCGGAGCUUGCUCUGCUGGAUCAGUGGCGAACGGGUGAGUAACACUUGAGCAAUCUGCCCCUGACUCUGGGAUAAGCGCUGGAAACGGCGUCUAAUACUGGAUACGAGCUGCGAAGGCAUCUUCAGCAGCUGGAAAGAACUUCGGUCAGGGAUGAGCUCGCGGCCUAUCAGCUUGUUGGUGAGGUAACGGCUCACCAAGGCGUCGACGGGUAGCCGGCCUGAGAGGGUGACCGGCCACACUGGGACUGAGACACGGCCCAGACUCCUACGGGAGGCAGCAGUGGGGAAUAUUGCACAAUGGGCGAAAGCCUGAUGCAGCAACGCCGCGUGAGGGACGACGGCCUUCGGGUUGUAAACCUCUUUUAGCAGGGAAGAAGCGAAAGUGACGGUACCUGCAGAAAAAGCGCCGGCUAACUACGUG
rnacentral:rRNA from 1 species